rnacentral:rRNA from 1 species
CGUCGGAGCUAGCCGUCGAAGGUGGGACAAAUGAUUGGGGUGAAGUCGUAACAAGGUAGCCGUAUCGGAAGGUGCGGCUGGAUCACCUCCUUU